rnacentral:rRNA from 1 species
CGAAGGGUGCAAGCGUUACUCGGAAUUACUGGGCGUAAAGCGUGCGUAGGUGGUUUGUUAAGUCUGAUGUGAAAGCCCUGGGCUCAACCUGGGAAUGGCAUUGGAUACUGGCGAGCUAGAGUGCGGUAGAGGGUAGUGGAAUUCCCGGUGUAGCAGUGAAAUGCGUAGAGAUCGGGAGGAACAUCUGUGGCGAAGGCGACUACCUGGACCAGCACUGACACUGAGGCACGAAAGCGUGGGGAGCAAACAGGAUUAGAUACCCUGGUAGUCCACGCCCUAAACGAUGCGAACUGGAUGUUGGGAGCAAUUAGGCUCUCAGUAUCGAAGCUAACGCGUUAAGUUCGCCGCCUGGGGAGUACGGUCGCAAGACUG